CAAAGUAUACGAGUAAAUUGAAAAUUAUUUCCUCUUCACAUUUUCUGUCAAAAGAUUGUCGCCGCCCACUUCUCCCUCAACUUCUCCUUCCCCCGGUUGCAGCUGUGCCAGCACCAAAAUACAGCCCCACUGCAACGACAGCCACACGUCGUUUCUCCUUCAGCUCGUUGUUCUCCCAUUGCUCGCUGUUAACGCGGUCUUCACUCAGACACGCUGUCCAUAGGCCCGCUGCACUUGUCCUCGGUGCUGCUCCUUGUCUUGCUGCUCGCCUUCCUUGCCUCUAGUCCUCUUCCUCAGUCACACCGCUGGUCCUCGUCCUCAGUCACGCUGAUGCUCUCUGUGGUGCUUGCCUCCAGCCGCUCGGUGAGCUGUUUGUAUGACAGGGAAACUGGGGGAGUGCUGAAUCACUUGCCCUAAAGAAAAUUAGGUGGAUCCAGGACAUAACCUUUCGAAUCCCAUGCCAAAAUGUUCUCCAUAUGCCUCCAUUCUCAAGGGCCUCAACCAGGUCAACAACAACUUUUAUAUGAUCCUAAGCAAGUUUCCUUUUCAUUUUACACACUUCCAUUUUUCAGUUCUUACAGUUCCGCCAAAUGGAACUGAACCCCAAAGCCACAGUGACCAGAAUAACUCUCUUCAAAACAGUAAUGAACCUGAGCCCUCAAUAUCUGGUAAAAUCUUCAAUUCAGCCCCAAAAAUGGGUUCUUACAAGCUGGGUGAUUCAACGUUUUACUCGCUCAUUGAAAACUAUGCCAAUUUGUGUGACUUUAAGUCACUAGAGAAGGUUUUGAAUCAAAUGAGACUUGAAAACAGAGUAUUUAUGGAAAGGAGUUUUGUUCUUAUGUUUAAGGCUUAUGGAAAAGCUCAUUUACCUGAAAAGGCCAUUGAAUUAUUUGAUAGAAUGUCCAAUGAAUUUCAGUGUAGAAGAACAGUGAAGUCAUUUAACUCGGUUCUUAAUGUUAUUAUACAAGAGGGUCUUUAUAAUCGUGCUAUGGAGUUCUAUAGUUAUGUUGUUGGUACGAAACACAUGAAUAUAUCACCUAAUGUGCUUAGCUUUAAUUUGAUUAUCAAGGCUAUGUGUAAGCUGGGAUUGGUUGAUGAUGCAAUUGAGGCAUUUAGAGAGAUGCCAACUAGGAAAUGUGUACCAGAUGCUUAUACGUAUUGUACAUUGAUGGAUGGGCUUUGCAAGGAGGAUAGAAUUGAUGAGGCGGUUUCUCUAUUAGAUGAAAUGCAAAUUGAGGGUUGUUUUCCUAGUCCUGUUAUGUUUAACGUGUUGAUUAAUGGGUUAUGCAAGAAGGGUGAUUUAACACGGGUAACAAAGCUUGUUGAUAAUAUGUUUCUUAAAGGUUGUGUUCCUAAUGAAGUGACCUAUAACACACUUAUUCAUGGUUUGUGUUUGAAGGGGAAGUUGGAUAAAGCACUUAGUCUUUUGGAUAGGAUGGUGAUGAGUAAAUGUGUGCCCAAUGAAGUCACAUAUGGGACAAUCAUUAAUGGGCUUGUUAAGCAAGGAAAAGCUCUUGAUGGGGCUCGUGUGUUACUUUUGAUGGAAGAAAGAGGGUAUCGUGUGAAUGAGUAUGUUUAUUCCAUGCUAAUUAGUGGGUUGUUUAAGGAGGGAAAGUGUCAAGUGGCUAUGAAAUUGUUCCAGGAGUCGAUAGAGAAAGGAUGCAAACUCAACACUAUUCUAUAUAGUGCUUUUGUAGAUGGUUUGUGUCGAGAAGGAAAGCCAGAUGAAGCUAUGCAAAUUCUUUCUGAGAUGGCAAAUAAGGGUUGCAAACCCAAUGCUUUCACAUAUAGCUCCUUGAUGAAGGGAUUCUUUGAGACAGGUAAUAGCCAUAAAGCCAUUGAAGUGUGGAGAGACAUGGAAAAGAAUAAUUGUACUCAGAAUGAGGUCUGUUAUAGUGUACUCAUUCAUGGGUUAUGCAAGAAUGGAAAUGUCAAUGAAGCAAUGAUGGUGUGGGAACAAAUGGUGGGGAAAGGAUUUAGGCCUGAUGUUGUGGCUUAUAGUUCACUGAUACAUGGCCUUUGCAAUGCUGGGUUGAUAAAAGAGGCUUUGAAACUUUAUAAUGAGAUGCUUUGUUUGGAAUCUCAUUCUCAACCUGAUGUGAUCACAUAUAACAUACUUUUCAAUGCUUUAUGUAAGCAAAGUAGCAUAUCUCAUGCUGUUGAUCUUCUAAAUAGAAUGCUAGAUCACGGAUGUGAUCCUGACUUGGUUACAUGCAACAUAUUCUUGAGAAUGUUAGGAGAAAAGCUAGAUCCACCUCAAGAUGGGAGGGAUUUUCUAGAUGAACUUGUGGUUCGCCUACUAAAGAGGCAGAGAAUUUUAGGUGCUUCCAAGAUUAUAGAAGUGAUGUUGCAGAAGUGCUUGGCACCCAAAUCCUCUACUUGGGCAAGAAUUGUUCAAGACUUAUGUAAACCUAAGAAGAUUCAAGCAGUCAUUGACAAGUGUUGGAGCAACCUAUAUUGCUAAUGCAUUAGCUAUGGCCCAUUUCGUUUUUAAAGCUCCUGGGAUGGGUGCUCUUGACUUACCAUUGACAAAACCACAUGCAGCAGCAGACAGUUUUCUGUAUGGUAAUGGGCUGGUUCUUUAUCGGUUGAGGGAGCUAAAGCUGCAAAUGCUUUUCAGAUUAGCUUGUUGAUGAAGAUAUUGCUUGAGAGCUUUGUCGCUCCUGGCAAUUGUCUCCUUCCCUAAUAACUAGAUGAUAUUAUGAAAGGCGCGGCCUAGCGCCUGGGGUGGCAUUAGGCGGGCGCUGUGCCUGAGGCGUCCUUAGGCGCGCCCUCGCCCUCUAUAAAAGGGCUUCAAGCCCUAGACUUUAACAACAACUUCAGUGGCCAGCAGCAGCUGCAGGAAAGAGAAGGAAAAAGAGGGAAAAAAAAGAGGAAGAAAAAGGAACAAAAAAAAGGAAGGAGAGGAAGAAAAAAUCAACAUUCUAGACUUCAACAUACUUAGGUUUCAUCCCUUCAAUUCAUUCUCAACAUAUAAUUCUUUUUUUUUUUGAGUUUAUCAUUCUCCUUCCUUUCUUUAUUCUUUCUCUUUUUCUUCUUCUCUUUCUCUUUACCUCCCCAUGGUUAACAUACUGUUGCAUGCUGCUCUGCCAUUGCCAACCAGCCUGCUAUUGUGCUGAAAAAGUCUGGCAAGGAAUUGGUGCAAUUUGAAGUGAUUCUGGUUUGCAAUAAUGGCCAGAACAGUGGUGGUUAACUCAGAUGCUGUGGGUUUAACAGACCUGAAGGAACAGGUGUGGCUUCUCCUAGAAGAAUGAAAAGAGGAAUUCCAAUGAAUUGAGAGAAGUCCUAAGUCAACAGAAAGGAUAUUAAGCAGUCAGCCCUGGAAAGCUGGAAUGCCAUUCUUGACGACUUGCUAUCCCUAAUAUCCACUGUGGUGAGUUACAGGGGCAAAGGAGUAAGCAAGGGCGAAGAAGUUCCAAGAUAUGACGUCAGGGGCUUCUCUCAAGGGUUUACUGAAGAUAUGGAAUUUUCACUUCAAGAUGGUAACACUAUAACUGUUGCUCAUCAGUUUUGCUGAAAUUCUUGAGAGUGAAGUAGGAUUGUUUUGUCAAAUCCAAGAAGCUAUUAACAUUGAUACUUGGAUAAAGGAUGACGAUGAACAAAAGUUUGAAGAGAAUAUUUCAGAAUCUCCCGAGCAUUUCAAUUGUUACUGUACUGAUGAUCAAGAUCAAUCCAACACUUCCAUUCAAUUUGGGUGCCUUUAAAAGGUAUUGAUCUCUAUUCACCCUUCAAUUGAAUUGAUUCCUCAACUUCAAUUGGGAUUAAAGAUGACAUGGGUAUUGGGUGUCAACAUUGCUGGGAACACUGAAGUCCUGAACAAUGAAGGUAUCCUUCUUGCCUUCAACUUGUCAAAAUUUCUGGAAACCGAAAUGGUGUUCUUGCUGAGAAUUAUUUGAUUAAAGGUAUUGAAAUAUUGGUGUUAAUUUAUGAAGAAGAAAAGUAUAUAAAUCUUGGUGGUAUUAUAUUUUAGUUGAAUUUAUCAAAAUUGACAAAGAAAAAGGGGAAUCUAGCUUGCUGUUGGGUCCAAAAGAAAGCUUAGGUUCUUUCUGAAGCAUCACAAGAAUGUCUGGGCUCAAGUGACUCGUGUUUCUAAUAUAUAUAAUUCUGAAAGAAUUUUCAUUUUUCUUUUCAA